CGGUAAUUUAUAUGAAAGGAUGCACAAGCUUAACUGGAAAUCCCAGAAUGUCCAAAGGAAAAGAUGGAAGGCUCUUCAUCAGCAACGACAGAUGUCAAAAGUAACCUGCAAGCAUUACGUCUUAGGAGUCUGGUCAAGAGCUCCAUACACUCGUGAAGGCAUUAGUUCAUUAGUUCCAAAAGGAUAGAUGUAUGGUCAACAUUUGGGCCAUGGCUCCACGUGAGUUUUGUGUAUUUCACUCCUACAAGGCC
rnacentral:lncRNA from 1 species